GUCGAGCGAACAGACGAGGAGCUUGCUCCUCUGACGUUAGCGGCGGACGGGUGAGUAACACGUGGGUAACCUACCUAUAAGACUGGGAUAACUCCGGGAAACCGGGGCUAAUACCGGAUAAUACAUGAAACCGCAUGGUUUCAUGAUGAAAGACGGUUUUGCUGUCACUUAUAGAUGGACCCGCGGCGUAUUAGCUAGUUGGUAAGGUAACGGCUUUACCAAGGCAACGAUACGUAGCCGACCUGAGAGGGUGAUCGGCCACACUGGAACUGAGACACGGUCCAGACUCCUACGGGAGGCAGCAGUAGGGAAUCUUCCGCAAUGGGCGAAAGCCUGACGGAGCAACGCCGCGUGAGUGAUGAAGGUCUUCGGAUCGUAAAACUCUGUUAUUAGGGAAGAACAUAUGUGUAAGUAACUGUGCACAUCUUGACGGUACCUAAUCAGAAAGCCACGGCUAACUACGUGCCAGCAGCCGCGGUAAUACGUAGGUGGCAAGCGUUAUCCGGAAUUAUUGGGCGUAAAGCGCGCGUAGGCGGUUUUUUAAGUCUGAUGUGAAAGCCCACGGCUCAACCGUGGAGGGUCAUUGGAAACUGGAAAACUUGAGUGCAGAAGAGGAAAGUGGAAUUCCAUGUGUAGCGGUGAAAUGCGCAGAGAUAUGGAGGAACACCAGUGGCGAAGGCGACUUUCUGGUCUGUAACUGACGCUGAGGCUCGAAAGCGUGGGGAGCAAA
rnacentral:rRNA from 1 species